AGAGUUUGAUCCUGGCUCAGGAUCAACGCUGGCGGCGUGCCUAAUGCAUGCAAGUCGAACGGGUCGCCUUCGGGCGGUUACGUGGCGGACGGGUGCGGAACGCGUGGGCGACCUGCCCUGGGGCGGGGGAUAGCCGCGGGAAACCGCGGGUAAUCCCGCGUACGCUCCCGAUCCGGUGGAGAUCGGGAGGAAAGGCUUCGGCCACCCUGGGAGGGGCCUGCGGCCGAUUAGCUAGACGGCGGGGUAACGGCCCACCGUGGCGAUGAUCGGUAGCUGGUCUGAGAGGACGACCAGCCACACGGGGACUGAGACACGGCCCCGACUCCUACGGGAGGCAGCAGCAAGGGAUCUUCCGCAAUGGGCGAAAGCCUGACGGAGCAACGCCGCGUGGGGGAGGACGCCCUUCGGGGUGUAAACCCCUUUUCCCGGGGACGAAGUUCUGACGGUACCCGGGGAAUAAGGACCGGCUAACUACGUGCCAGCAGCCGCGGUAAUUC
rnacentral:rRNA from 1 species